rnacentral:tRNA from 1 species
GUACAGUUUGGUAGAGCAUGGGACUCUUAAUCCUAGGGUCAUGGGUUCAAGCCCCAU